rnacentral:lncRNA from 1 species
AUGCUGAGCUCUUGACAAUGGGUUAAAGAUGCCAAUAUCAGCAAAAUUAUGAGCUAUGGCCUAGGCUCUGGUGUAAGAGGCCAGCAAGGCCAGGUGGUCCUCCAGCCCUGAGACACACGCACUGAGAGUCUAGGAGGAACUUACUCAUGUCCCCCAAGGAUCAUUUCACAAACAUCUGAGAGCUCCUCACCAACCAGACGAUGCACAACACGGGCUCCCAUGACUCAGCACGAAUUCAGACAC